rnacentral:rRNA from 1 species
GAGUUUGAUCGUGGCUCAGAUUGAACGCUGGCGGCAUGCCUUACACAUGCAAGUCGAACGGCAGCACGGGAGCUUGCUCCUGGUGGCGAGUGGCGAACGGGUGAGUAAUGCAUCGGAACGUAUCCUGGAGUGGGGGAUAACGUAGCGAAAGUUACGCUAAUACCGCAUAUUCUGUGAGCAGGAAAGCGGGGGACCUUCGGGCCUCGCGCUCUUGGAGCGGCCGAUGUCGGAUUAGCUAGUUGGUGAGGUAAAGGCUCACCAAGGCGACGAUCCGUAGCAGGUCUGAGAGGAUGAUCUGCCACACUGGAACUGAGACACGGUCCAGACUCCUACGGGAGGCAGCAGUGGGAAUUUUGGACAAGUGGGGGCAACCCUGAUCCAGCCAUGCCGCGUGAGU